rnacentral:rRNA from 1 species
AGUGAACGCUGGCGGUAGGCCUAACACAUGCAAGUCGAACGGCAGCACAGAGGAGCUUGCUCCUUGGGUGGCGAGUGGCGGACGGGUGAGGAAUACAUCGGAAUCUACUCUGUCGUGGGGGAUAACGUAGGGAAACUUACGCUAAUGCCGCAUACGACCUACGGGUGAAAGCAGGGGAUCUUCGGACCUUGCGCGAUUGAAUGAGCCGAUGUCGGAUUAGCUAGUUGGCGGGGUAAAGGCCCACCAAGGCGACGAUCCGUAGCUGGUCUGAGAGGAUGAUCAGCCACACUGGAACGGAGACACGGUCCAGACUCCUACGGGAGGCAGCAGUGGGAAAUAUUGGACAAUGGGCGCAAGCCUGAUCCAGCCAUACCGCGUGGGUGAAGAAGGCCUUCGGGUUGUAAAGCCCUUUUGUUGGGAAAGAAAUCCAGCUGGCUAAUACCCGGUUGGGAUGACGGUACCCAAAGAAUAAGCACCGGCUAACUUCGUGCCAGCCGCCGCGGUAA